AAUAGCAACAAUAAUUGAGAUGAGCCCUAGGAUUUUCCAAGGCAGAAUUAAAUGCCAGAAGUCAAUAGAAAAUGCAGAUCUAUAGAGAACUGAGGAAAGGGUUUUACCAAAGAAUUUUAUACCCAGACAAGUUGGCCUUCAUAUGGAAAAGCCAAAAAUGCAAUCUCAGAUAUGCAUGGGCUGAGGAAGAAAAGGGG